AGCCCAUUCCAGUGUCCAAUGACUCUCUCAGUGAAGAACUUUCUCCUCACCUCAAGCCUAAAUUUCCCCUGGCGUAGCUUGAGGCUGUGUCCUCAACAGUUCAGCUGCUGUACUCAGUUGGACUUCUACCAUCAGAGCGCUUUGAUUGCCAAGGCCAGUUCUUGAGUCGGAAGAGAUGCAUCUACAGUGACUAAUAUCAGACUGCGCUGAUUGUUACCCUAAUACUAGUGAGAUGAUACCAGGUUGUUUCAAGAAACACCUUCAGGAUGCCUGGUGUAUCUCCUGACCUGGUCUGGAAAUGUUUUAAAGAGGCCAUCUGAUCUACAGGUGACAUUUGAAGGAUGCUUGGAGAAUUCAGUACAUUAUUUAGGCCUGACAGGUAUGGUGACCCAGAAAAAUAACUACAAGCUUUUCAACAGCCAGAGGGAAGAUUUUUAAAUGCAACUGAAAACAUCCCCAGGAAGCAUGCAUAGGCACAAUGGUUAUGUGAAGAACCAGAGAAACAGAUUAACCUUACAAGAAAACCUCCUAAAAAAUAGCAUCAUUAGAUAAUGAUGACUGCUUAUGAAGAACCAACUGAAGAGGAAAGAAGUUAAAACUACCUGUAAGGAGUUUUAACCAAAUGCACCGUGUAUCUGGAAUACAAGAGAAAUUUGUAGUGCAUUAAUCUGACUUCAUGUAGCCUCAGUGAAACUCUGCUCACAAUUACUGUGGGGCAUUCCAGAAACACAUAACUUGACUGCAACACAUGAUAUGUGUAUAUAAAAACUAGCAAUAUUUUUUACAUGAAUUCAGACAAAAAAAAAAAGGAGCCUUUAAAAAGAGGUUGUUUGCAACCAACUGUAUGACUGCUGAAGUGUCAAGUGCAGCAAGGCUGAGUUUGCCAGUUGCAACGGUUUUACUGUGCAAGUCACCCAAUCACUGCAAAUGCCUGCUGUGAAAAAAAACAAAAUGAAUUGCCACAAAAUUUAGGAGAUCUGCUUGUUGCUCAAGUUUGUGGCAGUUACAAAAAAACUAAA